GACGAACGCUGGCGGCGGGCUUAACACAUGCAAGUCGAACGGAAAGGCCCUGCUUUUGUGGGGUGCUCGAGUGGCGAACGGGUGAGUAACACGUGAGUAACCUGCCCUUGACUUUGGGAUAACUUCAGGAAACUGGGGCUAAUACCGGAUAGGAGCUCCUGCUGCAUUGUGGGGGUUGGAAAGUUUCGGCGGUUGGGGAUGGACUCGCGGCUUAUCAGCUUGUUGGUGGGGUAGUGGCUUACCAAGGCUUUGACGGGUAGCCGGCCUGAGAGGGUGACCGGCGACCAUGGGCCUGAGAGACGGCCCAGACUCCUACGGGAGGCAGCAGGGGGGAAUAUUGCACAAUGGGCGGAAGCCUGAUGCAGCAACGCCGCGUGCGGGAUGACGGCCUUCGGGUUGUAAACCGCUUUCGCCUGUGACGAAGCGUGAGUGACGGUAAUGGGUAAAGAAGCACCGGCUAACUACGUG
rnacentral:rRNA from 1 species